rnacentral:misc_RNA from 1 species
CGUAGGGGAACCUGCGGCCGGAUCACCUCCUUCGAUUAAGGCCGGCAACUUAAGUGUAAAGGGUCAUGUGCCAUUGUACGUACGAAUGCAAUUCUCUGCAGGAUAUGCAGGGAAUGAAGGACCGAGCAAACGCAAGUUUGCAAUGACCGUCAUGUAUAGGAUAAAUCUGCAUCUCUCAAAUGGUUGUUAGACAUAAUAGUCUGACAGCAAUGAUAGAUGAAAUGUGGCUUUACAAUGUUCACGUAAAGUUUCAAUGCUUUAGACUACGCUGGGAAAACUGGUGCAAAGACGCCGGUUGGUGGAUG